rnacentral:lncRNA from 1 species
UACCUAUUUAUCAAAAUUUUCACGGUUUGUCCCACACUGUGUUCCACUCACGUUUUCCCCCAAUCCAAAAAAUCUAAAAUGAUUUUCCCCCUCUUUCACUCUGUCUCCAGCUGCACUCCACCCUCCACCACCGUUGCACUCACCCCACCGCUACACUGUAGUGUAUCGUCGUCGUCAGCGCUUCACCAUCGGCGUUGUACUUUACUGUUGUCAUCAACGUUCUACCGUCGUCGUCAGUGCGCCGCUUUGUUCCUACGAUUGUCGUUGUCGUUCACUACCCAGUCGUCCGCUGCACUAGUUGUUUUCUGUUCUCAUAUUUUGGUCUUCGUUUUUUUCUUAUUUUCAUUUCAGAUCUUGUCUUCUUCACGCCUCUUUGUUGAGUUCCACCUCCUGCUUCACAAGUUCAGGUUGGACAGGUAAAGUUUUAAAAUUUAAAAUUUUUAUUCAAUUUUAUUGUUUUGUUGCACUUGUGGUCUCUGUUGGGCUGUGUGUUGAUCUGUGAAUAUUGCGUGCGGUGUGAAUGGACAUUAUGGUGAGACUAAAAUUUCACUUUUUUUAAAGUUAAUGGAGAUAUUUUUUGAACUUUUUUAAAUCAGUAUGCACAUUGUUAAUAUGGAUGGACGGUUAAUAUGGACAUUGUUAAUAUGGACUUUUUGUUAAUGUAGAUGUACAAGUUUCUUAUUCACUUUUUCCAUUGAUUAUGUUCAAUUAAUGAUUAUGUAGAAUUUCACACUGAUUAUGUUUUAAUAAUUAAAUACAUUUAGAAGUUUUUUUUAUUUUUUUAUUGUGUUUAAAAGAAAAUGUUGGUGCUGCCGAGAAUAAACUUUUUUCAUUUUUCCAUUUGGUUGUUUAAAAAAAGAUUAAAAGGUGAGGGAUGGUGAGGGAUGUACAAAAUAAAAAGGUGUCGCAGAGAGUAAAAAAUUAUGGGCAACAGAUUUAUAACUUCCACCUAGGAGUCUUUUUUUCUCACUCAACCAUUUGCUUCCGGCACUUUACAAUCUGAACAUGUGAUUGAAAAUCAAAUGCUUCGUGCUGAAUUUAGUAUGUGGAGUCAAAAGUAUGCACACUUGGAGAAUGAGAUAAAGGUUAUAAAGGAAAAACUUAUCUCAAUGGAACGUGACAAAAAUGCUUCCAAUAGCACAACUCAAUCCGAUCACGAGUAUGAUCCAAAGUAGGAUGACCAACCUGUACCUUAAAAUGCAUCCUAGACUGUAAACUUAAUUAUUUGACAUUUUUAUUAUAUACUAAGUAUUUUAAUUAUUUCAUUUAUUUAUUUAUAUUGUUUGUAUUUUUUACAGGUUUUCAUAGAUCACAUCAUUAUGGAAUUCAUUUUAUAUUUUCAUUGACAUUCUUCUAUGUAAUUGAAUUAUUUAACAUUUUGAAUUUUAGUACUUUUAGUUAAAUUUGUAAAGUACAAUUUUAAUUUUAAGUUUUAUUCUAAGUAUUCAUAUCCACUUUGAAUAUUUGAAUGGAUCAAAGACUUUGUUUAAUUAUUUCUAUUAUUUUUUGUAUUGUGGAUGUGUUGUGAAUGAUAACAAUUUGUCUAAAUGUGAUUUGGUC